AGUAAAAUCAGCUAAAUAAGCUUUUGGGCCCAUACCCCAAACAUGUUGGUUGAAAUCCUUCUUUUACUA
rnacentral:tRNA from 1 species